rnacentral:rRNA from 1 species
AUUGAACGCUGGCGGCAGGCCUAACACAUGCAAGUCGAACGGCAGCAGGUUUUCGGCUUCUGACUACUGGCGGAGGGGGGAGUAAUACAGCGGAACAUGUCCGAUCGUGGGGGAUAACGAGGCCAAAGGUAGGCUAAUAUCCCCUACUAUCUCCGAAGGACAGCGGGGGAUAUCCGGAGAUCUCGCGGACUUGGCGGCUGAUGUGGGAUUAGGUAGUUGGUGGGGUAAAGGCUUACCAAGGCGACGAUCCGUAGCUGGUCUGAGAGGAUGAUCAGCCACACUGGAACUGAGACACGGUCCAGACUCCUACGGGAGGCAGCAGUGGGGAAUAUUGGACAAUGGGCGAAAGCCUGAUCCAGCCAUGCCGCGUGGGUGAUGAAGGCCUUCGGGUUGUAAAGUGCUUUUGUUGGGAAAGAAAAGCAUCAUGCUAAUACAGAGCUGUUAUGACGGUACCGAAAGAAUAAGCACCGGCUAACUUCGUG